GUGGGGAAUAUUGGGCAAUGGGGGAAACCCUGACCCAGCAACGCCGCGUGAAGGAAGAAGGUUUUCGGAUCGUAAACUUCUAUCCUUGGUGAAGAUAAUGACGGUAGCCAAGAAGGAAGCCCCGGCUAACUACGUGCCAGCAGCCGCGGUAAUGCGUAGGGGGCAAGCGUUGUCCGGAAUGAUUGGGCGUAAAGGGCGCGUAGGCGGCCUGGUAAGUCUGGAGUGAAAGUCCUGCUUUUAAGGUGGGAAUUGCUUUGGAUACUGUCGGGCUUGAGUGCAGGAGAGGUAAGCGGAAUUCCCGGUGUAGCGGUGAAAUGCGUAGAGAUCGGGAGGAACACCAGUGGCGAAGGCGGCUUACUGGACUGUAACUGACGCUGAGGCGCGAAAGUGUGGGGAGCAAACAGGAUUAGAAACCCGUGUAGUCC
rnacentral:rRNA from 1 species